CAUAUUACACUGAAAUACCAGUUCCCAUAAGAUCACUGAAGUUAAGCAAUGUCAGGCCCAGUUAGUUGCUAGAUGAGUGACCUCUAGGGAAUACCCUGUGCCGUAAG